AAGUCGAACGAGAAAGCGGGGGCGACCCCGUGAGUUUUUCCCCGUACGGGUGAGUAACACGUAGCUAACCUACCCUUCAGUGGGGGAUAACCUGGGGAAACUCGGGCUAAUACCGCAUAAGAUCCUGGUUGCGAUGCAACAGGGAGCAAAGGUCCGCAAGGGCCACUCAAGGAGGGGGUCGCGGCCGAUUAGUUAGUUGGCGGGGUAACGGCCCACCAAGACGAUGAUCGGUAUCCGGCCUGAGAGGGCGCACGGACACACUGGAACUGAAACACGGUCCAGACUCCUACGGGAGGCAGCAGUGGG
rnacentral:rRNA from 1 species